rnacentral:lncRNA from 1 species
GACUGACCUGAGCUGCCAUGGUAGCAUUUUCGCUAACUGUUUUCGUCAAAGAUAGCAGAGGGGGACACUGGGUUUGGGGAUAUGUUCGAUUCAUUGUAAAUAUGCUGCAGCUCAUUCUGCUUUCAUCAGUUAGUUAUAUCUCUUCUUUUCGCCUUCCCUUUUGCGACCACUGUUGGGCUGGGAUCAUAAUAUGAGCUGUGCUAAAACAGAAAGGGUGUUUAUUCUGCUAAAACGAAAUACAGUUGGGUAAAAGUUCUGAUAAUGCUUCUGCACUCUGUCGAGAUCGCCGGCGUUGCCCACACGCCAGCUCAUGCCACUCGUUACUGCUAGAUAAGUAGCCACGGCAUGGCCGUUAGACGGUGGUGCCGAGGAAUUCCCACUCUUUGCAGUAAAAUCUACGUACUCCUUUCUGUCAUUGUGUGCGAGCGAUGAUUGAUACUCCCUCCGUUCCUGUAUAAAUCCGUGUAGAGAUUUCAUUAUGGACUACAUACAGAGCAAAAUGAAUGAAUCUACACUUUAAAAUGCAUCUAUAUACGUCCGUAUGUGGUUCAUAAUGAGUACAUGCGGCCAAAGCUUAUCUCUCUGCCAGCCUCCCACGCAAGCCGACUUGCCUAAUGCCUCGUGACCUGCCGGCGCAGAAGAGAGUAAUGCGCUGCGGAUCAGAUGCCAUUGCUACUGGUGUGAGGAGCACGCACUGGGCCUGCUGCUGCCCGCGGUGCCAAGGGAACGUACGCGGGCCGCCACCGCCAGCCAGAGAACGCGCGUUGCGUAGCUCACAACCAAUCGAUUCUGACUUGGAGCAACGAAGGGAGUCCUAUACAAUCAGCGGGAUCAAAAACUGCGGGGACCCUCAGCGCCAAGGUUCAGGAAUCAGGAACCUUUCCUCACCACCAGCAGCGUUCCAGACAAACGACUUUGCUCAACACAACGAGAAAACCACAUUGGAUGGCUGUUUCGACUUCCAUUCAAACCAACACCUUGGAAGCAACAUAAGACUUUGUUCCUAAUUUUGCCAGAUGAUCGUUUCACGUCCGCCUCCAAACUGAGUGAUCAGAAAACCCAACCAACCAAACUCCGCAACUCAACCAACCACACAGUUCAAGAACCUUCUGUUACCACUGAUCACAUGAAGAAGGCCCUAUGUUUUCACGGAUGAAGCUAGACGCCCAAUUGCCCCUCCGUCGAGGGCUCCCUCUUCUUGUCCGGGCAGAAGACAAAGAACGCGGCGGCACCUGGAAUGAGGACGUAGGACAAUCUCUUGUGGAACUGCUCGCUACGCUCUAAGCUGCAGGUUAAGAAAGACCACACAACCUGAAUAUCAUAGCAUUACAUGUGUGCAUGCGUAUCGUGCAUGAAGAAAAAACGAGUUGCUUGCUUUACCGUCUCUCAUGUUCUAGCAGAGUACCAAUAUCCUUCUCCAUCACACACAAGUUCUCAUUAAGCUUCUCCAGGGCCGCCUCCGUGCGCAUGUGGGCCACGCAGCACGCCUGGAUACAAAUGAAACUUACACAUAAGAGAGCAUGCAAUGUAUCUUAUUUGAGUGCCAAAAAAUCGCUAUAUGUUUGCAUUCUCAACAUUAGCACAGCGCCUCAUUACUGAACCAUACGGAUGUCAGACACACUGAGAAUACUUGCAGUGCCCCAUUAGCCUUGCUAGCUGCUACAGGGAAGAGUACAGAGCACAACAUCAGGCAACAGACAACUAUGAGUGGUACCAAUAGAAGGCUCAAUCCUUAUGAAGAAGCUAGUUCUAUUACACCAAGCUAAGUCAGUACACGGUACCAAGGGAAGGAUCAAACCAUAUACUUAUUUGUUAUACCUAUUGGUCAAACCGUCAAAGCAUCCAGUGUGAAGAGCACAAGAGCAGUGGACGUAUAGUAUACUAAGAGAACAAAAGAGCUUAAAAUUGAAAGUUUACUAAUCACACCAAGCUGUCAAGCAAAUAAUAAUGCCAUUUCUGUCGAACCAACAUGUCAUAACUCUAUAUGAAAGAGCAUUUGCAAAAGGGAUAUUACCAGUGAGCAUGUCAAAACUGAUGUCAUUGCAAACUAAAGCGGUUGAAGGAUACUACCUUUUCCCCUUAACAACAUGGAAAGCAACUCCCACCCAAGCAAUACAAGCUCUCCUAGAGGAAUUUCAAGAUGUCUUGCUGAACCAACAUGAUUGCCUACUGUCUGACAAUUUGAUCAUGCAAUUCCUCUAAAAAAGGGUGCAGAAUCACCUAUGUUGAGACCUUAUAGUGUCUCACAUCAACAAAAAGGAGAAAUGGAAAAACAAGUUAAACAGCUGUUGGCUUCCUCAAUUGUAAGACCUAGUGACAUAUGCGGCGCCUGCACUACUGGUUAGAAAGAAGGACUGUAAGUGGAGAUUGUGUACUGAUUUUAAGAAACUUAAUGACCAAACUGUGAAAAACAAAUUUCCUAUACCCAUCAUAGAAGAUCCUCUGGAUGAACUGCAUGGAGCUACUUGUUUCUCCAAGCUGGACUUGAGAUCAGGGUACCAAAUUAGGAUGAGGGAGGAAGAUGUGCACAAAACUACACCAAGCUAAGUUGGUACCAAGGUACCAAGGGAAGGAUCAAACUAUAUACUUGUUAUACCUAUUGGUCAAACAGUCAAAGCAUCCAGUGUGUGGAGCACAAGAGCAGUGGAAGCAUAGUAGUAUAAUAAGAGAACAAAAGAGCUCAGAUUGACAGUUUACUAAUCACACCAAGCUGUCAAGCAAAUAAUAGUGCCAUUUCUGUCGAACCAACAUGCCAAGCAUCCACGCUUACUGUGCUCCUUCCUGUAAGAGCUUACGAUUUUUUUCCUACAAAUAGGCCAACACAAUGGUGAUUCACUGAUUCUAACCAUGCAGGUUGUCGUAUCGUAUCUUGUUGGAAAAAUUCCCUGCAUUUUUCAACCUUGCAGCAACAUGUAUCACAUAUAUGGGUAUCCAAACUACUAAUUUGACCCAAGAGAUACACCAUGCGCAUCCGUGUUCACCAUAGCACUGAAACCCAGGGAAUGCUAUGCUACAAUCAAACAGAGGAAUAUUCCGAAGCUCAAACAACUUAAAAUUACGUGCUGGAUGUCUACAAUUUGGAUCAUACCUACAUGGCUCCAUGAAACUGAACACGAUUGAGUGCACCUGUGAUUUUAAGCGAGGGGGGAUGUUUUCUUCCACAGCGGAAGCUAGGGAUUGGGUGGUGAGCGUGGAUUCGCCCAAUCCACCGGCGGAUCCCUUCCCCUAGGGGAUUCUAAACCCAAAUGCCAAACAAACCCUAAGGGGCGAUUCGCGGAGCGGUGGAAGGUACCUUNN